CCUACGGGUGGCAGCAGUGAGGAAUAUUGGUCAAUGGCCGGAAGGCUGAACCAGCCAAGCCGCGUGAGGGAAUAAGGCCCUAUGGGUCGUAAACCUCUUUUGUCAGGGAGCAAAGGCGUCCACGUGUGGACGAGUGGAGAGUACCUGAAGAAAAAGCAUCGGCUAACUCCGUCCCAGCAGCCGCGGUAAUACGGAGGUGGCCAGCGUUAUCCGGAGUUAUUGGGUUUAAAGGGUGCGUAGGCGGAGUGUCAAGUCAGCGGUAAAAUUUCGGGGCUCAACCCCGUCGUGCCGUUGAAACGGACGGCCUUGAGUGAGUGAGAAGUAAGCGGAAUGCGUGGUGUAGCGGUGAAAUGCAUAGAUAUGACGCAGAACGCCGAUUGCGAAGGCAGCUUACCGGCGCUCAACUGACGCUGAGGCACGAAAGUGCGGGUAUCGAACAGGAUUAGAUACCCUUGUAGUC
rnacentral:rRNA from 1 species